rnacentral:rRNA from 1 species
UACGGAGGGUGCAAGCGUUAUCCGGAUUUACUGGGUUUAAAGGGUGCGUAGGCGGACUUUUAAGUCAGGGGUGAAAUCCCGGGGCUCAACCCCGGAACUGCCUUUGAUACUAUUGGUCUUGAAUGUUGUGGAGGUGGGCGGAACGGGUCAUGUAGCGGUGAAAUGCAUAGAUAUGACCCGGAACACCGAUUGCGAAGGCAGCCCGCUACGCAACGAUUGACGCUGAGGCACGAAAGCGUGGGGAUCAAGCAGG